CAUGCACACUUCCACCAAAAAUUGGUUUGAACGAGAUCUAGUAAGUAGUUUUUUUUAAUACAACUGAAACUCAAAAAUUUUUUUUUCAUCGAACCCAUACGUGUGGGGUAUCUAUGGAUAGGUCUUCAAAAAUGAUAUUGAGGUUUCUAAUAUCAUUUUCUUCUAAACUGAAUAGUUUGCGCGAGAGACACUUCCAAAGUUGUAAAAUGUGUGUCCCCCCCCCUGUAACUUCUAAAAUAAGAGUAUGAAAAAACUAAAAAAAAUAUAUGA